UUUAAAAGCUGUUCUGUUGGUUUGCAAUAAAGGAGACUGUUGGAACUUGUUGCUUCGUCUCAAUGCCUCUUUUCCUGAAACAGAAUACCUGUCUUUCAACAUUUCUGGAAAGACUAAAACCUACAGUUUGAUCGCAAUAUGAAGAAUCAAAGAGGGAAACAGUUUUAUGGGGACUGCAGAGAACCUUGUGGUCUCUACUUUAGAGCUCUGCAGUAGCUUGGAAGACAGUGCUCAGUUUAUACAACUAUCAAUUAAUAGACCCAUUCUGCUGGGCAAGACUGGAGGAAAGAAUUACACAUACUUCAGUUGUUUCCUGUUUUAAUGACCUUUGUAAGUGCUUUAAUUUAGUAUUGUGUGGCUACCUUCAUGGUUUCCCAAGAAGUUUUCCAAAGGGUUAGGAGAAAGGAGCUGUUCCAGUCACCCGGCUAGCUUCCAUGCCUAAGGAAGGACUAGAAUCUGGGAUUCCCCAUUCCUAGUCUAGCACAUUAAUUACCAAACCACAUUGUCUCAUUUGUAGAGUUUUUUAUUUAAUGAAUAUCAUGUUGCUGAAUAGGAGCAACUAUUAUAUGUUGAGGGUAUGUGAGAAAGAAAGAUGGAGAGCAGAGGGAGUGUUUUACUGUUAGAGAUGUAUAG